ACUACGGGUGGCAGCAGUGGGGAAUAUUGGGCAAUGGGCGCAAGCCUGACCCAGCAACGCCGCGUGAAGGAAGAAGGCUUUCGGGUUGUAAACUUCUUUUCUCAGGGACGAAGAAAGUGACGGUACCUGAGGAAUAAGCCACGGCUAACUACGUGACAGCAGCCGCGGUAAUACGUAGGUGGCAAGCGUUAUCCGGAUUUAUUGGGUGUAAAGGGCGUGUAGGCGGGAGCGCAAGUCAGAUGUGAAAAUUCAGGGAUCAAACCUGAGCCUGCAUUUGAAACUGUGUUUCUUGAGUGCUGGAGAGGCAAUCGGAAUUCCGUGUGUAGCGGUGAAAUGCGUAGAUAUACGGAGGAACACCAGUGGCGAAGGCGGAUUGCUGGACAGUAACUGACGCUGAGGCGCGAAAGCGUGGGGAGCAAACAGGAUUAGAUACCCUUGUAGUC
rnacentral:rRNA from 1 species